rnacentral:lncRNA from 1 species
AUGCUACACCUGCCCCAAGAUGUAAUAUUGAGCAUUGAGAUUCCAGGGGCAGUACAUCGUCCUGGAAAGCCUCAAGAAAGGAAACUUCAGAGCAAACAGAAUCAACUAGGGAUCAUGACUAUACAUCCAUCACAUGCAUACCAGCAUGGGUCCAGCCGAGGCCUCCAAAAUGAUGCUUUGCCAGCCUCAGCUGGUUCUCAAGUGAUGAUAUCCUUGAAGUCUCUGUGGCCCGUGACUCCAGAGUUAAGAAUUGCCAAGAAGAUGCUUUUAGAAGAAAUUAAAGCCAAUCUUUCCUCUGAUGAGGAUGGAUCUUCAGAUGAUGAGCCAGAAGAAGGGAAAAAAAGAACUGGAAAACAAAAUGAAGAAAACCCAGGAGAUGAGGAAGCAAAAAAUCAAAUCAAUUCUGAGUCAGAUUCAGAUUCUGAAGAAUCUAAGAAGCCAAGAUACAGACAUAGGCUUUUGAGGCACAAACUGACUGUGAGUGACGGAGAAUCUGGAGAAGAAAAAAAGACAAAGCCUAAAGAGCAUAAAGAAGUCAAAGGCAGAAACAGAAGAAAGGUGAGCAGUGAAGAUUCAGAAGAUUCUGAUUUUCAGGAAUCAGGAGUUAGUGAAGAAGUUAGUGAAUCUGAAGAUGAACAGCGGCCCAGAACAAGGUAUUAUAAUUGAUAUUUUAAAAAUUUUAGGAGUUAAUGUGAAUGACCAUGCCUUCGAAUGAUUUGUAUGG